AUCAGCGAGCGGAGCCUGAUGCUGGCAGGUGGCUAGCAAGGGCAGAAGGAGCUGCUGAGGCUGCCACCACCUCCGCUCCUACUCAACCCUCCCUUCUCACAGAGAGGAGAAGGAGUCUCCGACUGUACUUCCCAGAAGGGCAUGCCACUGAUGCAUCCACUAAAGCUGAUGAAAGAUGCUUCUUGCAACAGUAUCCACUUGAACUUCUAUAUGCAAAGAAUAACCCCCAAGCUGUGAACAUGACCUUCAACAGGGAAUGCAGCCUAUCCAGAAGGAACUCAAAGGCAGCCUCCUCGGAAGCAUCACCUUCUCACAGUACCUCCACCACCGAACCUUAUGACAACGAUAUACUGAUUAAUUCAGAACCCCCACAGCAAACAACUGAGUAUGAUUGAGAUUCUGAUGACACCUCACUACAAAUUUCCUGAUGGACUCUCUCAAGAAUUUCAUAUAGUUGUUGAAUAACAUAAAGAAAAAGAUAGAAACCAACGGAACAACAUGUGCCGAGACACAGUCCAGUGCUUUCCACAAUCAUCUUCUGGAAAUUACUUGCCAGUUGUCCCAGUGCAUCUCAUGGAUCUGUUACACCAUUGUGUCCAGCUGCCACGCACUAUCUUCUCUGUAGGACUCCUGUGAAGAACAGAAGGCAUCUCUAUGCAGAGCACAGCUACAAGUGGCUGCAUUUCAAGGGACUGACCACCAUACAGAAGUCAGAAAGACUGAGACCUGGGUCUGCUUGAGCAAAACAGGCCUGUUUUGUUACAUGAUUGUUGUUAUAUAUGCUAUAUUAUUGUAUUGUCCCCAAUAAGUUGUUUUUUUCUCAA